AGUGCAUGUGGUGGAUGCCUUGGCGAUUACAGGCGAUGAAGGACGUUGUAGCCUGCGAUAAGCCGCGGGGAGCUGGCAAACAAGCUUUGAUCCGCGGAUGUCCGAAUGGGGAAACCCACCCGCAAGGGUAUCGCUGACUGAAUCCAUAGGUCAGCGAGGCGAACGUGGCGAACUGAAACAUCUAAGUAGCCACAGGAAAAGAAAUCAACCGAGAUUCCGAAAGUAGUGGCGAGCGAAAUCGGAGCAGCCUGUGCGUGAUAGUCGAUUGGCUAGUGGAACGGUAUGGAAAGGCCGGCCAUAGAGGGUGAUAGCCCCUUACACGAAAGCGAAUCGGUGGUACUGAGCGUACGACAAGUAGGGCGGGACACGUGUAAUCCUGUCUGAAGAUGGGGGGACCAUCCUCCAAGGCUAAAUACUCGUAAUCGACCGAUAGUGAACAAGUACUGUGAAGGAAAGGCGAAAAGAACCCCGGGAGGGGAGUGAAAUAGAUCCUGAAACCGCAUGCAUACAAACAGUCGGAGCCUCGCAAGGGGUGACGGCGUACCUUUUGUAUAAUGGGUCAGCGACUUACAUUCAGUGGCAAGCUUAACCAGAUAGGGGAGGCGCAGGGAAACCGAGUCCGAACAGGGCGCCAUAGUCGCUGGGUGUAGACCCGAAACCAGGUGAUCUAUCCAUGGUCAGGAUGAAGGUUGGGUAACACCAGCUGGAGGUCCGAACCGACUAAUGUUGCAAAAUUAGCGGAUGAACUGUGGAUAGGGGUGAAAGGCUAAUCAAACCUGGAAAUAGCUGGUUCUCCCCGAAAACUAUUUAGGUAGUGCGUCAUGUAUUGCUCCAGGGGGUAGAGCACUGUAAUGGUUGUGGGGGCCAUCGCGGCUUACCACGCCAUAGCAAACUCCGAAUACCUGGAAGUAUGAGCAUGGCAGACAGUCGCCGGGUGCUAACGUCCGGCGGCAAGAGGGAAACAACCCAGACCUACAGCUAAGGUCCCAAAGUGUGGCUAAGUGGGAAACGAAGUGGGAAGGCUAAAACAGUCAGGAUGUUGGCUUAGAAGCAGCCAUCAUUUAAAGAAAGCGUAAUAGCUCACUGAUCGAGUCGUCCUGCGCGGAAGAUGUAACGGGGCUAAGCCAUGCACCGAAGCUUAGGCUGCACUCUCUGAGUGCGGGGUAGGGGAGCGUUCUGUAAGCCUGUGAAGGUGUCUCGUAAGGGAUGCUGGAGGUAUCAGAAGUGCGAAUGCUGACAUGAGUAGCGUUAAAGCGGGUGAAAAGCCCGCUCGCCGUAAGCGCAAGGUUUCCUACGCAACGUUCAUCGGCGUAGGGUGAGUCGGCCCCUAAGGUGAGGGCGAAAGCCAUAGCUGAUGGGAAGCUGGUUAAUAUUCCAGCACCGAUUUCUAGUGCGAUGGGGGGACGGAUCGUGGAAGGUUGUCCGGGUGUUGGAAGUCCCGGUUCCUGACCUGUAGGUGUCUGGUAGGUAAAUCCGCCAGGCAUAUGCCGAGGGGUUGGGACGAGCGAGCUUGCUCGCGAAGCAACUGGAAGUGGUUCCAAGAAAAGCCUCUAAGCUUCAGCUGGAAAUCGACCGUACCGCAAACCAACACUGGUGCGCGAGAUGAGUAUUCUCAGGCGCUUGAGAGAACUCGGGAGAAGGAACUCGGCAAAUUGACACCGUAACUUCGGAAGAAGGUGUGCCUUGGUAGCUUGAGUGUGAACAACACAAGGGCGAAGAGGUUGCAAAGAAUAGGUGGCUGCGACUGUUUAUUAAAAACACAGCACUCUGCAAACACGAAAGUGGACGUAUAGGGUGUGACGCCUGCCCGGUGCCGGAAGGUUAAGUGAUGGGGUGCAAGCUCUUGAUCGAAGCCCCGGUAAACGGCGGCCGUAACUAUAACGGUCCUAAGGUAGCGAAAUUCCUUGUCGGGUAAGUUCCGACCUGCACGAAUGGCGUAACGAUGGCCACACUGUCUCCUCCCGAGACUCAGCGAAGUUGAAAUGUUUGUGAUGAUGCAAUCUCCCCGCAGCUAGACGGAAAGACCCCAUGAACCUUUACUGUAGCUUUGCAUUGGAUUGCGAACCGACUUGUGUAGGAUAGGUGGGAGGCUUUGAAGUCAGGACGCCAGUCUUGAUGGAGCCAUCCUUGAAAUACCACCCUGGUUUGUUCGCGGUUCUAACCUAGGCCCGUCAUCCGGGCCGGAGACAGUGCAUGGUGGGCAGUUUGACUGGGGCGGUCUCCUCCUAAAGAGUAACGGAGGAGUUCGAAGGUACGCUUGGUACGGUCGGACAUCGUGCCUAAAGUGCAAUGGCAAAAGCGUGCUUAACUGCGAGACUGACAAGUCGAGCAGGUGCGAAAGCAGGACAUAGUGAUCCGGUGGUUCUGUAUGGAAGGGCCAUCGCUCAACGGAUAAAAGGUACUCUGGGGAUAACAGGCUGAUACCGCCCAAGAGUUCAUAUCGACGGCGGUGUUUGGCACCUCGAUGUCGGCUCAUCUCAUCCUGGGGCUGUAGCCGGUCCCAAGGGUAUGGCUGUUCGCCAUUUAAAGAGGUACGUGAGCUGGGUUUAAAACGUCGUGAGACAGUUUGGUCCCUAUCUGCUGUGGGCGUUGGAGAUUUGACGGGGGCUGCUCCUAGUACGAGAGGACCGGAGUGGACACACCUCUGGUGUACCUGUUGUCACGCCAGUGGCAUCGCAGGGUAGCUAAGUGUGGAAGAGAUAACCGCUGAAAGCAUCUAAGCGGGAAACUUGCCUGAAGAUGAGAUCUCCCUGGGGACUCGAUCCCCCUGAAGGGUCGUCCAAGACCAGGACGUUGAUAGGCCGGGUGUGGAAGCGCAGUAAUGCGUGCAGCUAACCGGUACUAAUUGCCCGUGAGGCUUGACC
rnacentral:rRNA from 1 species